UCCUAAACCCUAUUGCAGCGGCAGCCUGAGCCUCUUCGGCGAAGCUAUAGCGGAAAGAGGGACUGCUA
rnacentral:sRNA from 1 species